CGGUCCAGGAGGGAGGAGGCCCAGCACCCCGUCUCCUAGCAGCACGCCGGCGGCGCACAGCGUCCGGAGCGGAGAAAUGCCGGGCUGCUGGGCGGGGAUCCAGAGGUUCCCAGGGUCGUCUGGGCCGGGCCAUCCCCAGGGCAGCGGGGAAAGGACAGGGUCUGAGGCCUUGUGUUCACCGCUCUGAGCACCUGAGACGAGGCAUGAAAACAAGUCAGCCCUGAACCUGGAGAACCUGGUGCCUGCCCACCGGAGCAGAGCUCCUGUGACCCACCUCCCCUCCACCUGCUGAAACGUCACUGGCACCCAGCAGGUCCCCGGCCUGCCGGUGAAAAGUACCACCUGCUCCUUCCCGGGCACCUGACUGGACCAGUUUCCGGAGGAGUUUUGUCAACCCUCGGCCUAAAGCAGUUUAUGGCUUACGUGCAGCUCAGCAUGCUGGGCUCAGACCUGGAGCCCCAGGCCUACCUUCUUCUGACCCAGCCGGGGGACCAGGAGCCCAGGAGGCAGAGCCGAGCCCAGGCUCCACUGCCCUCCCGCGGUGAGGCUGGCUCCCGCGCCAGCUGCUGUACCAUCUCAAGACCUCGAUCCAGCUGCAUCACUGCAGUGCCAGGGCCAGCUCCAGAGAGGCCCAGCAAAAACAAGGCAAACGUCACUGGUAGAAAGACAACUGAACCUGGGAAAGCAUUCCUCGGAACCCAAAGCCAGAGGAAAGUCACCAAGGUCAUCUUCUAACCAGCUUGGCACUGGCAGGCACUGAGCUGUGCUCCUCAGGGUCUGGGUGGUCAGACAGGUAAGUACUUGCAGCCUGUAGCAGACUGAGCUACCUGGGCAUUUUCUGCCCCACUACCAGCCCAAGCUACUCUCAGAUUCCACUUUUACCCUGAAAUUCUCUUGCUGUUGAGAAUAUAUAUGGUGUCGUAUACGAGAAAUGAGUAGUCUAUAGGCUGACUUACCUCCAUAGACCACUCACAGCCUUGGACGCCUUCUGUUCUCUGGGAUCCAAAGACCAGCUCAGUUUUGCCAAGGAGCACUGCCAUGGGUGUGGAGGCGUGUGUGCCCACCACCAUCACUGUCCUCGAGGACUUCCCUCGUGUCUCCCUGGGGGUGGGUCACUGCCACCUGUGCCCACAGGCACCCCAGAGCACCACUCCUGCAUGGCUCUGACCACUGCAAAGCCAGCCGUCCAUUCAGCUACAAGGGCCCCAUCAAAGAGCCAGGACCAACAGCAACUCCAAGUCCACAGGACCCCAGGACCCCAAGUCCUGUGAACAUUACAGACGCAGCCCUCCCUCAGCAGAGAGUUCAGUGAGCACUCUGGCAGCUCCUUUGGCUCCGAAGUGAAGGGGAUCAACAUGAGCUUUGUCUUCGAGUCCUCCGAUGGCCAAGAAAAGAAGCUGAGCACCCGCCUCUUCUCCCUGACAGCACUUCUGCAGCCCCUCUCAGUGCUCCCCAAUCUGUACCCACAAAAGGAACCAGGAAGCCCCCAAAGCUGCACCCUGGCAUGUGACGCCCUGCAGAGUCCAGGGCUACUGCUGCCCUUGCCAUCCCCCACUGUUCUGGGAGUCGCCCUCCUCAAAGUCCCCCCAAAUCCACAGCAUUAGCUCAGCUUCCAGCAGCAUCUGCUUUUCAGUGUGGUUGCCUGUGACUGUCCCACGCAGCCAGCAGCCCUGUGUCUCGGGUCUGCGGGCACAGCUCCAGCAGGCAGGCGAUGCUGCUCCAUGCCCGUCAGCCUGGAGGAGGACAACAUGCACAAGAGCACCCUGGUCAUCUGAACGGGUGGGGCGUGGUCCCCGCGCUCAGACCUCUCUGGGCAUAGACCUCUCCUGAACAGGUGCCCUUCAAGCAGCACAGCCAGACCCAGGGGGGGCACGCCAGCGCUCCGCUGCACCUGAGGACACAGAGGCGGUCUCCUUAGCCCUGGGUGGCUCCUGGGGAUCCAUGCUCAUUAAGCUCGCUCCAGGUCUAAGAUGCUCUGGUCGGACCACCUGGAUUGUGUCUCCUGCCCACCCCCAACCUGCAGUGGCCCCUGACUCCUUGCUUGGCGCUCAGAGCCCUAUGUGUUCGUUUCCAGAGGACCUCCCCAGGGUGCACCAUCACCCUCCCUCCCUCCAGCCUCCCUAGAGCCUUCUUCACCCAUGGACCCCACCGCCCUUGCCUCCUCACAGCCCCAGCCUGCAGUGCCCCUCCCUAUACUCCCCCAUCCACAGUGGACUCACCUCCAAGCCUGGGCUCAGGGGCCACGUCUUGGGCUCCUGGGCACAGCAUGGCCUUUGGGGUCAGAUUGACCUGGGGCCAGUCACAGCCCCGUGACAGGCAAUCUUCGUGGUGACUUCUCAGAGUCUCAGUUUGGCUGGGCUUGGUCACUUAGAGCUGAGUGACCCUGAGCACCCAUGCCAUGGCUCAUCUAUAAAUUUGGGUGAGCUCACUGAGUGCCCAGGAGGGGCUCCCUAAUAACAGGAAUUACCCCCAACACUCACUCGGCCCUCCCUGUGGGGCCACCUCCUCUGGGGGCUCCCUCCAGCCGCUGCUACACCAGCCAGGGCCGCGGCCAGGGCCAGGCUGUACCCGGUGCGUGUCCCGGGGUCCUGCCAGAGAAGGCAGGGAGAGGCGGGUGUGGAGGAGGAGGGGCGGGGGUGGCCUGACCUUCUCCUGCCCAGGCCCGUGUCUACGCUACUUCUAGGCCCCCUGACCCAGCCGUGCACCGCGCUGGCCUCGGGGAGGAGUCUCGGGACCAGGACAGCAGGUUGUGUAUGGGGGGUAUUGUGUGACUUUCAUGUUCCUAGGUCUCCGGCCAGCCUGACUGGAGUAGGGUGGCCCGGGGGUCCCAGGGGUCAUGGGGUCGCAGAGCAGCAGACGUUGGGGCUGUGCGAUAACGGCCGGGCUGGGAGCCAUUGGUGCCCUGAGCUCACGCGCUCAGUGCACCAUCGGCUGAUGCUGAUGUUGGGUCUCGUGCCCGCGCUGCCCGGGGUCUGCAUGUGCGCCGGGAGGUGGACUUGGACGCUAGGCCAGCGGCCCCGCGCUGAGUCCGCAUGUGGGAGGGAGGCCCCUGCACCCCUGAGCGCAUCCUGCUCCACCCACCCGGGGGCCUGGGGGCCAGGAGCCCAGGCCGUGUCCACACCGAGUGGGGCUCCCACAGUUCCGUGUCCAUCCCCUCCUGGGACAAUCGGGGGAAUCUGAGAGCAGGAGAGUCAGGGACUGGCCCAGGGCCCGAGAGGUGGGCCCAGUCCAGAGGAGAAGGGAGGGUUCAGUACCCCGAGGCCAGGGUUUGCUUUGGGAAUGAGAGCCCCUAGGAUCCUGAGGGACCCCCUGCGCACCUCUCCCACGUGGGGCCCUUUCCUCUGUGCAUCCCCACUUGGGCACAGGUGUGGCGCAUGCGCGACCUCAUGUUUUCUCCCCAUCCAUCUACUAUGCUUGGUAUGCAGAGUACAUUUUUGUAGUACAGUAUAUGAGAAACUUAGCAGUGUUACCUGUGGAAUGGAGCAAUGAGGUAGAUGACAUAAUUUAAAACAUUCUGGAUGUUGUGAGAUUAUUUUUAUAAUACACAUAGCUUUUUUAAUUUUCAAAAAUAGUUUAUACAUUGAAGAAAUGUGAGAAAAGGCACUUUUAAUGUUUCUUUCAACAGGCAAAAAAUGUAGGGCUAAUUUUUUGUUUUAAAAGACGUCAUUUUAGAAGUAAUUAUUUUAUUGCUGAUUGUCUAUAGUUGCAGAGAAAAAUUCACAAAUUGUAAAUUAAGUAGAUUACUAUUUAGAAUGUGCUUCACCUGAGCUUGGGAAAUAUUUUGUGACUCUGUAGAGAUGGGUUUGUUUAUUUCGGAAAUAUAACUGAGGAAAAACAACUGUAUGAUAAAAAAUAGUUACCUUUUAAUUGAGAAUAGUUACGUAUUAGUUACCUAUUAGUAUUCCUUCUAAUACAGAACUUCAAUCUUGUUGAACGGUAUGAGGACUUCGUUUGGUUCUCCUGCCCUCUAGUGGUCAUUUAUCAAAAUGCAGAGAAGCUUGUAUUAGGUGAACCCCCUGAAAUUAUACAACCCAGGUGUGGGGAUCAGGUUGGGAAUUUUGGAGAUUAGAGGAACCUGAGAAAUUUUCUGACUUGAUUUCCUCAUCUUUGCAACAUAAACACCAUGUGUCGAUUACAUAUUCCCUUGAGAUUACUGAUAUAAAAUUCAAUUCUGGCAUCUCUUGACUAUUUGACUUAGUAAAUUAUCCAAAGCUACCGUUAUUUUCUGUAAUUUUUUUACAUAUAUGGUAUAAUCAUAGAUCUUAUCGCUAUUGCA